rnacentral:rRNA from 1 species
ACUGCUCAGUAACACGUAGUCAACAUGCCCAGGGGACGUGGAUAACCUCGGGAAACUGAGGAUAAACCGCGAUAAGUCACUACUUCUGGAAUGGGUAAUGACUAAAAUCUACAUGGCCCCUGGAUUGGACUGCGGCCGAUCAGGCUGUUGGUGAGGUAAUGGCCCACCAAGCCUGUAACCGGUACGGGCUCUGAGAGGAGGAGCCCGGAGAUGGGCACUGAGACAAGGGCCCAGGCCCUAUGGGGCGCAGCAGGCGCGAAACCUCUGCAAUAGGCGAAAGCCUGACAGGGUUACUCUGAGUGAUUUCCGUUAAGGAGAUCUUUUGGCACCUCUAAAAAUGGUGCAGAAUAAGGGGUGGGCAAGUCUGGUGUCAGCCGCCGCGGUAAUACCAGCACCCCGAGUGGUCGGGACGUUUAUUGGGCCUAAAGUAUCCGUAGCCGGUUCUACAAGUCUUCCGUUAAAUCCACCUGCUUAACAGAUGGGCUGCGGAAGAUACUAUAGAGCUAGGAGGCGGGAGAGGCAAGCGGUACUCGAUGGGUAGGGGUAAAAUCCGUUGAUCCAUUGAAGACCACCAGUGGCGAAGGCGGCUUGCCAGAACGCGCUCGACGGUGAGGGAUGAAAGCUGGGGGAGCAAACCGGAUUAGAUACCCGGGUAGUCCCAGCUGUAAACGAUGCAGACUCGGUGAUGAGUUGGCUUCUUGCCAACUCAGUGCCGCAGGGAAGCCGUUAAGUUUGCCGCCUGGGGAGUACGGUCGCAAGACUGAAACUUAAAGGAAUUGGCGGGGGAGCAC